GUUCCAGCUGGGAACAUACCUCUGCCACUACCACCAGCAGAACAGCCUGGCUCUCACCGCCACAGCAGCGCCAGCCCAAUGGCAAUGCAGACAGAUGCACAAAACUGACUUCCCCGGAGGCCUUCUCUCAGAAGUGAGUGGCCUGGAUCUAUGUACCUCUUCCUGCCUGGCCUGGACUGGAAAUCCCACCGCAGAGGGCACAUCUCAUGGGAAAUGUGGCCAUGCCUCCAAAUAUAGGAACGGCCUGGAGAAAACAUCCCAUCCCACCCCAGGGGGGCGCCACUGAGCAGAAUCUUCUCAGCAUGUGGGAUCAGAAAACACCGAUCAUGUGCAAGUCUCUGUGAUGGGUCUACGCACUCCCGUGGAAACCCAGCCUGUCCAGCUUGGCAGUGAAUUCUCAUGUACUGAAAUUGGAGCUGGCAGCCUGCUCAUCCAGACCUCUGCUCGCCCAGACGGAUGUGUCCACUGUGAUGCUGUCUUCGUGUCCACGAUAAAGAAAAUGAGUUUGAAAGAUGUUAAAUAAGUUGUCAAAAGGUCAACGAGUCACAGGACUGCGACGUGACAUUGGAACUGGGACUGUACGCUGCCUGAUGUUUGCCAGUUACUGAUUUGUAAAAAGUGAAAAAGGUGAUUGUGGUAGCAGUGUUCUCACUCCGGGCAGGAUAGUUUGAAACUCUGUGCCACCUCUUGUCUGAGCAGUACUUUGGUUGGUCCUCAAUUUGUCAAAGAAGGGCAGUCCAGGAUCCAAAAAGUGAAAAGCAACAUCCUCCUGCCCUCGUUCUGCCUCAGAGAGUUUCAGGGACUUGCUCUGAUCCUGCCCCGUAUGCCCUUGGCCUUCUCAGCCUGAGGAGACUGCGUGUUCUCAGUGGGUCCCCAUAAGAUCCUUGCAGUGUGGCUUGGCCUGGCCUGACACUAACUUUUUAGAAGCCAACCUGCCACAUUAACCAUGUUCAGAUCCUCGUGUAGAGCCAGCACCUCAGCAGAGUCACCUAAACCUCGCAGCAUGGAGCCUGGUGCAGUGCACACAUGCUGUGUGCCUGAAGAAUGAACGAAUGUUGUAUUAUUUAGGGCUGCAAUAACGUGGCUUAAACAAUGGAAAUUUAUUCUCUCACACUUGUAGAGGCCAGAAGUCUAAAGUCAGGUGAGGGCCCCAGCAGAGAAGGCUUCUUGCUUGCUCUCUCCUAGCGGUGGGUGGUGGUGGUGGUCUUUGGUGUUUCUUAUCUAAUACGGUACAAGAGAUCUUUUCAUGUUAGUCCACGUGGCCAGCUGUCUUUCUCUUCAUCUAAGGACACCAGUUGUACAGCACCCACCUCAAUGAUCUCAUCUUCACGUGAUUACAUCUAAAAUGACUCUAUUCCCACAUAAUGUCACAUCACAGGCACCAGAGGUUAGGAUGUAGACAUAUCUUUUGUGAAGACAUAACUCAACCCAUAACAACCAUGAAGGGCAGUUUGCUCGUGGUCUGAUUUUCAAUUACAAAGCUCUCAGGGCUUGGUUCGUCACAGGAAGGUCAGUAGUACUUCUGGGUUGUGUUGUUUUACACACUGCGGAGGUGAACUUGUUUCUCCUGUGACUCCUUUCCUUUUUUAUUAGCCUAUCAGUGAUGCUUUGUGGUCACUAUAAUGACUGUGUUUACUCUAAGCUUAAGUACCUGUGUUUCUCUCUUUCGUAUUAGGUAUAAAAUGGAAUAUUAACUUGGAAUAGAGCCUCUCCCUCUUGGGCAAUGGCAAGAACAUUCUACUCUAAAUAAGUCAAGCCGACCUUGCAUUUUUACCGAAGCUCACACUCCUCUGACUGUUCCUUAAGCCUCUUCACAGUCCAGCCCCAACUCCCCUUCCCGGCUGCUCCUCCAUUCUCAAACUCCCGGGGCUCCGCACAGUGCUGAUUUGUCCUUCCCUGAAAUGCCCCUUGAGCUUCCACCCCUGUGCCUUUGCUGUAUCCCUUCCGGAAGCCUCUUCCCAUAUCUAGCGUCUCCUUUUGAUUUUUUUUUUUUUUUUUUUUUGGUUUUUCUCCGGUACCGGGAACCGAACUCACGACCUUGCGCUUGCCAGGCAAGCGCUUUUGCCGCUCAGCUAAAUCCCCAGCCCCUAGCGUCUCCUUUUGAGAUUCUCGCUAGUCUUUAAGGUCAAAUUCAAAGGCAACCUCCUCAGGAAGCCUUCCCUGAUCCUCCACCUUCUCUCCCUCAGAGGGCUGGUGGCCCUGGUUAACCUUUGGUAAACCACUACCCACAGGCUACUCUGGUCAGAAGGACUUUGUCUUUCCUCCUCCUCCCUCCCGUCACAAAGCAAGAAUGAAGAGAAGUCUGGCGGCCCUCAUAGGAGAUAGAGCUGAGGGUGCUGGGGCUGUUUCCUUGGAAGAGAUGCAUACCCUAAGCUUCCUUCAACUGCUGAGAUUCUAUCAGACUAUGAGCACCUUACGGAAACUACUCCUGGUUUCUUUGGUAGUCCUUUACACACACAUGUGCACACGUCUGUGCCUGGCAUAAGCCAUGCUCAAACUCCGACUCCUGUCUGAUGUAAGAGUCAUCCGCUUAUCAGGUGAUGUGGGAAGCAGAAUUCUAAGAUGGCCCCAGGAUUUCCUGCAGCCAGGUGCAUAUGUCCAAAACAAUCCCAGGACUGAGAGAAGAUCUUAACCCAGUGACUAAGCUAUGCUGUAUGGCAUAUUGACUGAAUAUAGGGAGAUGACCUGGGUGAGCUUGACCUAACCCCAAGAACCCUCAAAAAGCAACUGGCCCAGGAGGGAGAACAAGAACUUCGAAGUGAGAGAUCUGACAGGAGGGCCUGGUGGGUGAGCCAGAGCAAGCCACAUAGCAAGGAUGUGAGUGGCCUCUAGGAGCUAAAAGCAGUCAGACCCUACCUGGUGCAGGAGCUAAGAGCAGCCAGCAAGACAAUUGGACACAGGUUCACAACCGUAAGAAAAUGAAUUCUGCCUACGAUUCAAGCAGAUCUCUACCUGGUCAAGCCAUCAGAUACAGCUGCAGCUGGCUGGACUCCUGACCGUAGGAAUGGUGAGCCAGUGAGUGGGGGUUAUUUUAAUUUGCUCUGCAUGUGAAAAGUAUCCUAUUAGUAGUGGGGAAAUACAAACUAAAAUAACAGUAAUACAUGACUCUUAAUCCAGGGUGAAUGGCAGAAACUCCUGAACUUAUCCAGUGUGGACAAUAAUAAGGAAAUAUAUGAGCAUACCAACACACAUAUGAUAACACUUCAAAAUAAGGCUUUCUGAUGUGACAAUAAAAAAUUGAAAAGGCUGAGGCAAGAGAAUCAAAAG